rnacentral:rRNA from 1 species
GAGAAGCUUUCCCGCACGAACUACUUGCUGUGGCGCACACAGAUCACACCCCAACUGCGUGGCGCCGGUGUCUUCGGCUUCAUGGAUGGCACAUCACCAGAGCCGGCCAAGCUCCUCGCCGCCAAGGACAAGGACGGCAAGGAGACGUUCGUGCCCAACCCUCUCCACCCUAUAUGGGUCCGAGAGGACCAGCAAGUGCUCGGCUACCUGCUGAGCAACCUCUCCAAGGAGGUGCUGGUCACGGUGACCACAGUCACCAUGGCGCAUGCGCUCUGGACGACGCUGGCGGGCAUGCACUCGUCACAGUCGCUGAGCCGCGUCAACAACAUCCGUACCUCCCUCAUGAGGGUCAUCUCAUGGCACAUAUGA